GACAGAGGAGCCAAGCGUUGUCCGGAUUGACUGGCGUAAAGCGCACGCAGGCGGCUCGGCGCGUGGGGUGUGAAAGCUGGCGGCUUAACUGCCAGACGCCAUCCCAUACGGCUGGCUCGAGCCCUGCAGAGGUCCGAUGGAAUUGCCGGUGUAGUGGUGAAAUGCGUAGAGAUCGGCAGGAACACCCAGGGGGAAACCGAGUGGACUGGGCAGGAGCUGGACCGCUGCAGG
rnacentral:rRNA from 1 species